UGUGUUUAAGAAUGAGGAGUUGGUUUGGCAAAGCACAAGGAGUUUAGUGUUUGGAAUUUUAGAGUGGAUAAAAAAAAUUAAAAAAAAAAAAGGUAAUAGAUAGAGAUAUGAAGAAAUAAAUUAGGAAAAAAGAUGCUUGGCUUCUCAGAGGCAUUGUUCCAAUAAACAUCUUUAUUCAUCCUUAUAAGAUUCUUGGAUAGCAGCCUUAGAUUUGCAGGCUUAUGAUUUGAAUGAAUCUAAAAUCGGUCUAGAUGUUUGAGGGCCCAACUCUGCUUUAUGCUUUAAAGUCACUUCCAAAACCAAUGACAGAUAAAUAACAGCCUUGUGUGUCUACUACAGGAAUCAAACUACCACAAAAACAAAACAGAACAAAAAAAAAAAAGAGGGAAAAAAAAACCAACAUAUCUAUCCUCUUUCUCCCUCUUUUUUGUUUCAUUGUAGAAGCCAUGGUUUUUAGUAUACACAGAGUACUUAUUGUCCUUCUCAUGUGUGUUGCACUUUUAGCUGUUAAACCAGAACAGGCUUGUGCUUUGAGAAGUAUAGACCUUGCUCUAAGACCAAGCCGCCACAUUCUAGUUGAAGACUCGAGGGUGGAGGAACUGAACAUGAAAAGGAAUUCACUACCACAAAACAACAAGUUUGAUCCAAAUCGAUCAAGCAAAAGAAGGGUUCGGCGAGGAUCGGAUCCUAUCCACAACAGGUCUUAGUUCAUUUCUUUUGUUUGCAGAAGGAACCCACAAAUUUGACAUCAACAGAAGGAAAGAAACAGAGAAAGGUUCAGUCCACAGCAGAGGAAGAAACACCAGCAAGAAUCUGGUUUCUCCAAUGGUUGAGUUUUUGUUCUUCAGUUGUGUAUGGUAAAGCUUCCUGGAGGAAGUCCACCACAAUGACCUCCACACUGAAACUAGAAGUGAAUUCACAAACUUAGCAGUAAAAAGAUCACAGAGAUGAAUGACAAAAAGAAUCCAACUACUUGACAAAGUAUCAUUGAAUUCUUUUGAAAAGAGGAAUACUUUGAAUCUGUUUUGAACUUCAAGUUCAAGUUUCAUGUUGAAACAAGAUUCUUUUUUAAUCCAUCAGCUAGAUCUUAACAAAGCUUUUUAUUAAUUUAGUUCAUCUUCUACGGAUGUUAUUUUGGGAAAUUUUAUAGAAGAUGUCUCCUCUCUUCCCCAGAAAUUGAUCAGUUCCACUCAAAUCUACACAUAAUCAAUUACCCAUCAGCUCACUGAGAAGCCUAGUGAAUCUGUACAACUCAACAUGUGGCCUUGCCUUUUGCUCUUUAGCUUUUUCUUUAUAUAUUGUGGGUUUCAAAGCUUCGAGACGAACAUAAGAAAGUGUAAUGAGUAAAGCAUUUUGAUGUUAUGAGAAACUGUGAAGAAGAGUCUAAAAGUGUAAUGAUUAAAGCAUUUUGAUGUUCUGAGGAAUUGUGAAGAAGAGUCUAUUCAUUGUUGUUUGUGUUAAACAAGAAGAAAAAUCUUGCACAUCAUAAUCAUGGUUGACCAAGUACUGAUAA